GAUUAACGCUGGCGGCGUGCAUAACACAUGCAAGUCGAACGAUGAAACUUAGUAGACUUCUUCGGAAAGACACUAAGCGGCUUAGUGGCGAACGGGUGAGUAACGCGUGAGUAGCCUGCCUUACACAAGGGGAUAGCCUUUGGAAACGAAGAAUAAUACCCUAUAAAACCAUAAAAGCACAUGCUAGAAUGGUCAAAGUGAUAGCGGUGUAAGAUGGACUUGCGUCUGAUUAGCUAGUUGGUGAGAUAAAAGCUCACCAAGGCAACGAUCAGUAGCCGGCUUGAGAGAGUGUACGGCCACAUUGGGACUGAGACACGGCCCAGACUCCUACGGGAGGCAGCAGUGGGGAAUUUUGCACAAUGGGGGAAACCCUGAUGCAGCGACGCCGCGUGAUUUAGAAGGCCUUCGGGUUGUAAAAAUCUUUUGUAUAGGAAGAAAAUGACAGUACUAUACGAAUAAGGUCCGGCUAAUUACGUG
rnacentral:rRNA from 1 species